rnacentral:tRNA from 1 species
GGUGGCUCAGUGGUAGAGCGCUUGCCUUGCAAUGCAUCAGGCCCUGGGUUCGAUUCCCCAGCACCA